rnacentral:rRNA from 1 species
GACGUAGGGUCCAAGCGUUGUCCGGAUUUACUGGGCGUAAAGAGCGCGUAGGCGGUCUGUUAAGUGUAGAGUGAAAUCUCCAGGGCUCAACCCGGAAACUGCUCUGCAUACUGGCAGACUGGAGUGAUGCAGAGGUUGUGGAAUUCCUGGUGUAACGGUGAAAUGUGUUGAUAUCAGGAGGAACACCCAUGGCGAAGGCAGCAAACUGGGCAUUAACUGACGCUGAGGCGCGAAAGCGUGGGUAGCAAACAG